rnacentral:rRNA from 1 species
GCUUAUACUCGACCGUCAGCGGCACGUGCGAUCGCGCGGGAGCUUUCGAGCGACGGCGCGGUCACGAAGCCCUGACGAGUAGGAGGGUCGCGGCGGUGAGCGCAGAAGGGCUGGCCGCGAGGCCGUCUGGAGCCGCCGUCGGUGCAGAUCUUGGUGGUAGUAGCAAAUACUCCAGCGAGGCCCUGGAGGACUGACGUGGAGAAGGGUUUCGUGUGAACAGCCGUUGCACACGAGUCAGUCGAUCCUAAGCCCUAGGCGAAAGCCGAUGUCGAUGCGGUGUAGUUUAUUUUGCGAUAACACGUAUAAGACGACGACGACGACAACGACGACGGCGAAAUAAAUGUUAAUUCGUUCGUCUGUUCGUUCGUUSGUUCGUUAGUCGAAAUAUAAUAACGCGAAAGCACACACCCGUCGGGCGAAAGGGAAUCCGGUUCCUAUUCCGGAACCUGGCAGCGGAACCGUCAAAAAGUCGGGC